CGCCGCCAUCUUGGAUUCGGACAGGUAGCGUCAGGCUCUGUUGACGAUGACGCUGGUGGCAGCCAUUUUGGAUGUGGGCACUGAUAUUUCCAGGUGGGGGGGGCAGCCCGCCAUCUUGGUUUAGGGCAUUAAGAAGGAUUCGACCCUGUUGGCGCUCAAAGUUUGAAGGGACGCUGCGGACUCGGACACGAUGUAUUCCAAGGAGCCUGAUGUCUGGGAUGGAUUGGGGCAGCCCCCGACUGCCUCUGAGGCCAUGACCGGCUAUCUUGGAUGCUGUCACUAGAGCCCCUUGCUGGUUUCAUUGAUCGAUUCGGUGGGAGUAGGUCGGUUAUGUUCAGGUGCCUGAUGAGAAAGGAAGAUAGAGGCCUUCAUUGCUGAGUUUUUCCAUCCUCUGUUGGAAGGAGGAAGGGACCAGUGUGAGUCAACGGCAGAGUUGGGAACAGAACACAGCUGUGGCAGUGACUUCUGGAAGUGCAGCAGCUCUUGAAGAGGUCCAGAAUGCACAGCAUUUAGACGUUUGCUUCUGUCACAAUAGACCCAAACCUUCCAUCCUGGGCUGAUUUGAUGAGAUUGAGGUGAGAUUUUAAAAUAGCUGCAGCCCUCUUGAUGGAUAAAAAUUAGUUGUUUUCCCAUUGUGGGGUAAAUUAAAACCAACUAUUUUUAGCAGGAUGCCAAAUACUGCAGCUGUCCACCUUGUUAAUGAUCAACUCAAUCCCACUCCUAACCAUCUUCCUUCCUUACAGUUCUUUUCUCCUCUUCUUGGGGAUCUCUGCCUAAAAGUCUUACAGGCAGUAGAGGUAGUAAGCUUAGAAGCAUUGGCAGAACGAAGUAAAACAUGGUCCCAGGAGACCCUAUAGGUAAGGCACUGUAGCUAUGUCACUGUAUUCUCAUAGUGUAGAUGCUUUCUACAGUGACGGAACGUUUUUUUUUUUCUUUCCCCAUUGCUGUCGGAACUCCAUCUCCCUGAGUGACAGUAGCUAGGUCAAAAGAAACAGUCUUCCGUCAACCUAGCUGCAUCUACACUACGGAUCAGCUCAUCGUAGCUACAGCGUUCAAGGGUGUGGAUUUUUCACAUCCCUGAGAGCUGUAGCAGUGUCAACGUAACUUUUGAGUGAAGACCAGGCCUAAGGAUCUAGAGGAGGAAGAAACAACUUGGUGGGGAAGACUGGAUCAAAUUGGGAAGAUGAUCUGAGGCAGUGCUUCUCCUCAAAGUAGCAAAGCUAAGCUGCAUCCCAUUGCAGCCUGCAAACACCCCGGCAGUAUUUAUAACACACGAUAUGGUUAACUCUGGCACUGUGACACAUUUGUAUUACCUCUGUUAUGCCAGAGUGAAACAGCAUGGAAACACCAGUGCUGAGGUGGCAUGAGGUGUGAUAGUUUUUGAUUUGUGUCCAGGUGUAGAAAUUGUUUAAAGGGUGAGUUUGAACUUUCACAAGGUGUGGACUGAUUAAAUGAUCAAGGAUUAAUAGAAGGGUGAAGCUACCAGUCAAAAGCUGUGACAAGAGGAAUGCAGUCACAGUUGCCUCUAGUCAGCAUUCCUAAUUCCAUUCUUCACUGUUUUCUUAUGAUGGAGCUGUUCUCUUACCCACGUGCCCUCGUCAGUUCCUACUCCAUUCUUCUUUCUUAUAUCUUGGCACUCCCAGCUGACAUACAUGCAUCUCCUGUUCCUUUGACACUAUUCCAUGUGGACCUUGAUAGUUAAGUGUUGUUGUUUCCAGGGCCAGUGGUUUGCUAUUGAGAAGGUUUUGUGUACAGAAAGGCAGAAACAGCCUAGAAGAGACUGUCUUUAACAGAUUUUACUCCUAAUUUCAUACACACAUUUUGAAGGGGUGGGGGGAUUCUGUGUAGUCUACCAGGAGAACAAGCUCAAGGGAUCUCUAAUUAACAGGAAGUUAAGGUACUGGUAUGAGGUCUUAGGUGAAUUGAGGAGAACCUGUAGAAACAGCAUCUAGCAGAAGAGAGCCAUCUGGGAAUAUGUAGCAUAAUUUUUCCCCUGCCUUCAAGAGAGUGGUGCUGUGAAUAAGGUCACUAGUGUGUCCUUCUGGGAGAGGCUGGGACUAAAGUAUUAUUAUUAAUUAAUUAAUUUUAUUUAUUAUCAUUAUCAUCUCUAUGAAUUAUUUGUAUUACUGUAGCACCUAGGGACCCCAGUCAUGGACCAGAACCCCAGGUAGUACUGUAGGCGUUUUACAAAAAGAUGGCAGUUUGAGAAAAUGCAAAUGGAGAUCCUAAAUCAUUCCUGCCCAUGAAGGGGUAGGAUUGGAGUAGAUGUGAGCUCACAGUGCCAUGUGCUAGGAGAGGGUAGGCCGGUGGUAUCUGUGAGCUCCCAUACAGGGACUGAUUCUACAGUACCAGUAGUUAGGAGUGAUUGGACUAGGAAAUUUUAUGGGGGAUGGCGGUGGGUGGCUGUGUAUAUAUAUAUUUUUUUCUUUUAAAAUUGUUAGUAACAAAAUUGUAGCUUAUAUUUCAUCUGUGCUUCA